rnacentral:tRNA from 1 species
AGCCCCGUGGUGUAGCGGCCAAUCAUAUGGGCCUUUGGAGCCUAGGACCCCAGUUCGAAUCUGGGCGGGGCUA